rnacentral:rRNA from 1 species
AACGAACGCUGGCGGCGUGCUUAACACAUGCAAGUCGAGCGGUAAGGCCCUUUCGGGGGUACACGAGCGGCGAACGGGUGAGUAACACGUGGGUGACCUGCCCUCAGCUCUGGGAUAAGCCUGGGAAACUGGGUCUAAUACCGGAUAUGACUCCAUGACGCAUGUUGUGGGGUGGAAAGCCUUGUGCGGCUGAGGAUGGGCCCGCGGCCUAUCAGCUUGUUGGUGGGGUGAUGGCCUACCAAGGCGACGACGGGUAGCCGGCCUGAGAGGGCGACCGGCCACACUGGGACUGAGACACGGCCCAGACUCCUACGGGAGGCAGCAGUGGGGAAUCUUGCGCAAUGGGCGAAAGCCUGACGCAGCGACGCCGCGUGAGGGAUGACGGCCU